rnacentral:lncRNA from 1 species
UGGGCUUCCAGGGGAUGGGCGGGAAAGGAGACAGGUGUGUUUCUGAGGGAUGGGGCCGCUGAAGGGAAACCACCGCUUCCUGCUCUAGGGUCCUGGCUGGUUCAUGGGAAAAAGCCGAUUAAAAGCUGCCCCAGGGCUUGGGGGAGCUGGAAGCUGUUGCUGCAGCCUCUCUAAAUCUCUCCAGAAUUAUUGCAUGGUGAAGAGGAGCCUGGGCGGUGGAGGACUGGUGAGGGAGCAAGUGGUAGCUCUAAACUGUCCCUCCUAGCUGGGGGUCCUCCCCUUCCUUUUCAUACUUUAAAAUAUUUUUGGAGCUGUUUACUACUGGGUAACAAAAGGUUAGAUCGGUGACAGACGAGAAGGCAUUAGUAGUAGGACAGCUACGGAAAGCAUGCAGCAAAUGGAUGAGGAAGAACUUGGGGCUGCAGCAGUCAGUGGCAGGAGGAGAUCAAUGCUUCUGUGGUUCAUCAGCAAAAGCUGAAACGGCAACAAAAGGAUGUAGUUGCAACUACCAUCUCUUUGCAUUCAUUGCCAGCUCUGCUGUUGAUGCCGAUASUCAUUUUUGGGUUCUCCUCCUGAUGCUUGUGAGGGAAGAAACAAACUGCUGUAGCAUUUAAGAUAUAAGGCACAGGGGCACUGAUGUUGCUUGGAGAGAGCUCUG